GUUGCUCAGAGCACAGCGGAACGGGUAGGGGGCGGAUAUCCCCGACGCCUUCCUCCUGCGCGGAGGCGCUCAGUUUACCUGUGACAUGGAACAGAGGAGGGGAAGGAGAGGAAAGGAUCUGACGAACACGUUCAGACAUGAUGCAAAUGGGAAGCCAUCUUUUCCUGCCGUCUGGAGAUGUGCAACUACUGUCAGAUUCCAGUGAACUUGGAAGGCAAUUACAAAGUCAAACCCAAGAGAGGCAAAUAAGCGUAAAGCUUUGUGGAUCUGUGUUGGCAAAGUCUGAAGACCACAUGUGGAAAUAGACCCUGAGAGAGGAUGCAUUGACCCGAGAUCCUUAUUUCAAGAGGUUAUUUUGAGUAGCCAGAAGAGUUCCAGUUGUUUGCUUGGUUGUUUGGCCGAGUCUUGGACCAAAGAGUGUCCACUAAACAAAGAUAAGGUGUCAUAAAUUUGUUGGCAUAAAAUAGAGUUUGGAGAAGGGAGAUUGGAAUAUUGAAGACAUUUUCAUAUUCAAUAUUUUCCCCAUUCAUGAACUGUAUUUCUCAAAUGAUUCCAGAGUGUUCGAGGGCAGAAUACUGGAGUGGGUAGCCUUUCCCUUCUCCAGGGGAUCUUCCCAACCCAGGGAUUGAACCCAGGUCUCCUGCAUUGCAGGUGGAUUCUUUACCAGCUGAGCCACCAGGGAAGCCCCCAAAUACUGGAAUGGGUAGCCUAUCUCUUCUCCAUCAGAUCUUCCUGACCCAGGAAUCGAACUGGGGUCUCCUGCAUUGCAGGCAAUCAGGGAAGCCAUGAGAAAUACGUGAGUGAGGGAAACACUGUCAGUUUUGAAAAACACUGUCACGGCUAUUCUCUGUAAGGCCGAGGAUAGUCAUUGGAUGCUGUGUUAAAGUGGGUUCCCUGAUCUCAGUAGGGCUACCAGGAUCCGACAGUGGCAGACUCUAAGCAGGAGCACUAAAGGCCAGGUGGACAUGGUUACCAAACAGGCCCAGGAAUGGAAUUCAGGUGCAAGAUGAAUAAUAAACGCCCACGAAUAUCUACCUCUUUGCUUGUCCAUUGACAUCUCUUUUUCCCAAUACUUACACUUCAAAAGGAAGCUUCCAAUAAAGCUUCCAC
ensembl:lncRNA